rnacentral:rRNA from 1 species
CCUACGGGAGGCAGCAGUGAGGAAUAUUGGUCAAUGGACGAGAGUCUGAACCAGCCAAGUAGCGUGAAGGAUGACUGCCCUAUGGGUUGUAAACUUCUUUUAUAUGGGAAUAAAACAAGGUAUGCAUGCCUUCUUGUAUGUACUAUAUGAAUAAGGAUCGGCUAACUCCGUGCCAGCAGCCGCGGUAAUACGGAGGAUCCGAGCGUUAUCCGGAUUUAUUGGGUUUAAAGGGAGCGUAGAUGGGUUGUUAAGUCAGUUGUGAAAGUUUGCGGCUCAACCGUAAAAUUGCAGUUGAAACUGGCAGUCUUGAGUACAGUUGAGGUAAGCGGAAUUCGUGGUGUAGCGGUGAAAUGCUUAGAUAUCACGAAGAACCCCGAUUGCGAAGGCAGCUUACUGGACUGCGACUGACACUGAUGCUCGAAAGUGUGGGUAUCGAACAGGAUUAGAUACCCUGGUAGUC